AAAGCUCAGUAACACGUAGUUAAUCUACCCUCAGGUUGAGGAUAAGCACGGGAAACUGUGUCUAAUACUCAAUAGAAGUUUGGUUCUGGAAUGAUCUUACUUUGAAACUUUUGGCCUGAGGAUGAGACUGCGGCUGAUUAGCUUGUUGGUGGGGUAAUUGCCUACCAAGGCCGUGAUCAGUAGGGGCUCUUAGCGGAGUGGCCCCGAGAAGGAAUCUGAGAUACUAUUCCUAGCUCUACGGAGUGCAGCAGCUGCGAAUAUUUUACAAUGCACGAAAGUGUGAUAAAGCGAGCCAAAGUGCUUAUCGUACAGAUAAGCUUUUCUUUAGUGUAAAAACCUAGAGGAAUAAGGACUGGGAAAGACCGGUGCCAGCCGCCGCGGUAAUACCGGCAGUUCGAGUGGCAUCCAACUUUAUUGGGUCUAAAACAUCCGUAGCUUGUCAUUUAAGUCUCUUGUGAAAUCGAGUGUCUCAAGCACUCGGCUUGCAGGAGAUACUGAAUGACUAGAGACCGGUAGGCGUAAGGAGUACGGUGAAGGUAGUGGUAAAAUACGUUAAUCUUCAUUGGACUAACGAUUUAGCGAAGGCACCUUACGAGGACGGAUCUGACAGUCAGGGAUGAAGGCCAGGGGCGCAAAACGGAUUAGAUACCCGUGUAGUCCUGGCAGUAAACACUGUUCACUAAACAUCGGGCCCUCUUCGGGAGGAUUCGGUGCUGAAGGGAAGCCGAAGAGUGAACUACCUGGGAAGUAUAGUCGCAAGGUCGAAACUUAAAGGAAUUGGCGGGGGAGCAC
rnacentral:rRNA from 1 species